CUUGUACUCCCUCCAUCCGAAAAUACUUGUCAUUGAAAUGGAUGUAUCUAGAUGUAUUUUAGUUCUAGACACAUCCAUUUUGAUGACAAGUAAUUCUGGAUGGAGGGAGUACUUG
rnacentral:pre_miRNA from 1 species